ensembl:lncRNA
UGCGUGUGUGUGUGUGUGUAUGAGUGUGUGCGCGCGUGCAUUUUGGUUCUCAUGCCAAAGCUCAGUAAAAGCCGGGCGAGCAGGACGUGACUUUCAAUAAACCGCCGAACUACACAGCUCCCGUCUGUAUCUCUCUUCUCUUUCCGCUUCAUCCGAACGUCCUCUCUCUGGCUCGCGCUUCUCUACGUGUUUCUCAUUCUCUCCCCCCCCCCCCCCUUCUCCUUUGUCAGUCCAUCCUUCCACGCUCCAGCUCUAAAUGUUGGCUGUGACACACUCGUCCUCGAUUACGGCACUGAAAGAGACUCUUUGUUAGAGUAAAUCCUAUUGAAAUAGGUCACACGCGUGCACACACACACACACACACUUCUCCACCCGCAAAUUAUAUCGAAAGAGUCUGAUAAAGUGGUCGUUCUUUUCGAAAUCUCACCUACGCUCCUGGUGUCAAGAAAGGCACCACGUAUGUGUGCCAAAAUAUCGGAGAUGAGUUCGGUGCACACUGGAGAUUUAUUUCUGCGUCUCGAUGGUCUGAUCAAGAUUGCGCUGAUUAGUGUCUCUGUAAAGUAAUAUCACGUAUAUAUUCUUCAUUUAUAUCACUGUAAAGUAACAUCACGUAUAUAUUCUUCAUUUAUAUCACUGUAAAGUAACGUCACGUGUAUAUUCUUCAUUUAUAUCACUGUAAAGUAAUAUCACGUAUAUAUUCUUCAUUUAUA